UACGUAGGGGGCAAGCGUUGUCCGGAAUCAUUGGGCGUAAAGCGCGUGUAGGCGGCUCGAUAAGUCCGUUCUGAAAGUCCAGGGCUCAACCCUGGGAUGCGGAUGGAUACUGUCGAGCUCGAGUCCGGAAGAGGCGAGUGGAAUUCCUGGUGUAGCGGUGAAAUGCGCAGAUAUCAGGAGGAACACCAAUGGCGAAGGCAGCUCGCUGGGACGUGACUGACGCUGAGGCGCGAAAGCUAGGGGAGCAAACGGG
rnacentral:rRNA from 1 species